ncrna:Nicotiana tabacum cultivar TN90 Ntab-TN90_scaffold1975, whole genome shotgun sequence
UUUGACUCAAUACGGGAAAAUUUACUAGGUCUAGACAUAGUAAGGAUUGACAGACUGAGAGCUCUUUCUUAGUUCUAUGGUCGGUGGUGCAUGGCCGUUCUUAGUUGGUGGAUCGAUUUGUCUGAUUAAUUCUAUUAUUAACGAAUGAGAUCUCAACCUGCUAACUAGCUAUGCGGAGGUAUCCCUUUGCGGCCAACUUCUUAGAGGGACUACGACCCUAGGCCACUGAAGUUUGAGGACUAUUUUUUCAGUUAUUUUGUUGCCUAA